GAUGAACGCUGGCGGCGUGCUUAACACAUGCAAGUCGAACGAAGCACUUUAUUUGAUUUCCUUCGGGACUGAUUAUUUUGUGACUGAGUGGCGGACGGGUGAGUAACGCGUGGGUAACCUGCCUUGUACAGGGGGAUGACAGUUGGAAACGGCUGCUAAUACCGCAUAAGCGCACGGCAUCGCAUGAUGCAGUGUGAAAAACUCCGGUGGUAUAAGAUGGACCCGCGUUGGAUUAGCUAGUUGGUGAGGUAACGGCCCACCAAGGCGACGAUCCAUAGCCGACCUGAGAGGGUGACCGGCCACAUUGGGACUGAGACACGGCCCAAACUCCUACGGGAGGCAGCAGUGGGGAAUAUUGCACAAUGGGCGAAAGCCUGAUGCAGCGACGCCGCGUGAGCGAAGAAGUAUUUCGGUAUGUAAAGCUCUAUCAGCAGGGAAGAUAAUGACGGUACCUGACUAAGAAGCACCGGCUAAAUACGU
rnacentral:rRNA from 1 species